UGUCUCCCUCGCAGCUGGCUUUCACGUGCACAAGAUAUGGGUUUGCUAUCUCAUGUUGUUGUACACUGUAUGCUUUCCCUAUGCGCAAGAAUGUAACCAGUUAGAAGUGUUGUAAGCAGAGAGGUUUUUCGGCUUGAGGCUUUUAAGGCUUUCUGGCUACCACA